UUGUUCCUUGAGUCCGCCAUCCUAUAGAGUAGAAAAGGGAGAGGAGUCAGAAAUGAGUAGAGAAGAGUGACCUAUGGUUUUAGCUUAGUGGUCAUGUCCUACAGUCAACCUGGCUCUGGUACCAUCUUGUAGCGACCAUACCUCAAACAGUCUAGUCUCUGUGCAUCAUUGUCAUCCCUGGAUCGAUAAUGCUGACACACACAGUACUUGAGGAUUUAUAAUAGAGUUUCAAUCUCACACUUAUUACAUCGAAUGUCUCAAAAGAAAACUUAUUACAAUAAUAUGUCUUAAGGCCAUCUAAAUAAGAUAACAACGGAAGGCUUGGAGAUAAAGUGAGUCCAUCAACUCCAACAGCAUAGUUGAGUGAACGACAACGACCUAUGGCACCUUAUUCGUCGUCUGAAAAGUCUGCAACAUGAUAUGUUGCAGCCCGAAACGGGUCAGCACAUGGAAUAUGCUGGCAAUAUAACAGAUAGAGUAAUGAACAGAUAAAAUGCUAUCACUACAUGUAUAUAUGGCUGGUGGAAAGCUCUAUGGUUACUCUUUUUGCAUAAAGCCAAUUUUUUCCUACAACAAAGGAAUAAAAUUUAUUUAACUAUCAUGGUGGUUGUUAAACAUUGAGAAUGUUCCUCCAACUCAGUCCCAAUUAAGCAAUAUCAAUUAACCCAACAAAUUUAAAUUAAAGUGAUGAGAUCAAAUCAAUAAUUCAAGUACCAGAUACUUAAGAUGUCCAUAACCGGGGACACGACUAAUCAUGAUUAGUUUGUACACUCUGCAGAGGUUUGCGCACUUUGCCCACAAGACUCGAUCUCCUCCGUUAGAUUUCUCGCACUACAUGGUGUUUGAGAAACGGAUGACAAAGACACGGUCUUUCAGAAACACCAACUAUUUACUCUGGAUGGACAGUUACACCUACUUUCCCCUACAUCUGCUAGCCCACCAAUGAAAGAGGUCAUGCAACUUACUCAACUAUGCUAGAGCCCAUAAUAGCUUGUGGCUGCACACGGAAGUUUCUAGCAUGAAUAAUCUUAUGAUCCCUUUAAGCCUGGGUGGCGAACCGUAGGAUGAUCACACGGGUACUCCGGGAUAUCCUAGGACAACACUGGAUUCUCCAGGCGCCCUGACAACCACUGGGUACUCCAAGGUGCCUCAACCAAUCCACCCAAAUCUAUAUUUAAGUAGCCACCUUAAGUUAACCGUUAAUUAACAAUACUCACAUCUGUCAUGGAUACACUCACCCAAUCCACGUCUAUGAGCAUAGCAUAGCAAUACUGAGCAUAACGUAAAAAUAACUCCCAAAGGUUUGAUAUAAAAAGGGCAGUAGGUUCUACCUCAUCAUCUACUUCCCAAACCCAUAUGUUAUUCAAAUCCUAACCAUGCAAUAUUUGAGGAUUGGAACUAAUGCAUAAAAACUGGAUAAUAAAGGGAUAUGAUCAAAGUGUUACUUGCCUUGCUGAUGAUCCGCAAAACCUAGAGACUCGUAGUAGCACGCUUCGCACUCCAGAAAUUCUAUCGCAAACAAACAAAAGCAUACAUAAGCACUCAACUAGAAGCACAGGUAAAACUCAAAUAAGAAGGUCUAAACAAAAAGUUCAACUGAAGAACUCCAGUUUGCAAAAAGAAUUAAAUCAAAUGGAGCAACAAAACUCAAAUUAUGAAAGAAACAAGAAUCGUUUACUAAUCUGGACUAAAGUCAAAUUUUACAAUACCAAAAUCAUGUUCAAGUUGGCUAAACAGAAAGAGGGCUUCGAGAUGAAGAUCUAGGCGCUUAUUUCAUCUAAUUUGGAUAAACGAGCUAAAAGAUAUACUAGAACAAAGAUCAGGGCAGAAACCACGAUCGGAAAUAAUGGCUGAAAACCCCUGGAAAAAAAGACGAGACGAACAGGCUAACGAACAAACGUUCAUUGUUUGCGACUAACUGACGAACAACGUUCGUUAAAAUAAACAUACGGACGAAUGUACGAACGAACGUCCGCUAAUUAACUAAACCAAAAAAACAAACCGAUCUAUUCUAAAAAAACAGAUCUAGGUUUCUAAAAAACGUCUGAGAAAAACCGAAACGGCGGUGGCGGCGGCAUCUACCUCCGGCGAGUGACAACGGUGGCGGCGGGAUCGGUGGCGGCGGCGGCGACUCCGACGGGAGGGCGGCGGCGGCGGCGGGGGGCGACGGCUGCGCGAAGUGGCGGCGGCGGCGCGGGUUUCGAGGCAGCGGCGCUAGGGUUUCGGGCAAGGCUAGCGGCGCUGGGGGCUAUUGGGCCUCGCCCUUUAAAGUCCGGCCGGGGCGGAGUCCGGCUCAGGCACGGCCCGUUAGGUCGGUGCGUUUUUUUUUCUUUUUAAAAAAAACUGACGUAAAAAAACAAACAAAAGAAAUGUUAAACGAAGUCCAAAAAUCCUGAAAUAAAUUUUCACGGUCCUCUAAUAAUAUUGCGGACAAAGUGAACAUUUAUUUGGGUUACUAAUGCAAUUUUGAAAAACGUAUUUUUUUCUAAUUCAAAUAAAAUAGCAAUAAAAAUCCAAAUAAAAUUCUUAUUUGAUUUUAACAUUUUCCUCCAAUAUUUCUUUUAUUUUGAAGAAGUCAUUUUAUCCCCUCUCUUUUAUUUUGACAUUGGAAAUAUUUGGAGAGAAAAUGAUUAAAACCAAAUUGAUCCUUCUUUCAAUAUUUGAGAAAACUUAAAUAUGAAAAAUAAACGAAAUCCUCAAUUCUCUCCAUGGGUCCUUGAGUUGCUUAGAAUUUCUAGAAUCAACCAAAAUGCAAUAAAAUAUGAUAUGCAAUUAUGAUCUAUGUAUAACAUUUCAAAUUGGAAAAUUUGGGAUGUUACAACAACCAAAUUGAAAUAUUCCCUUUUAGCAAUAUACAAUUGUGCUCAACCAAAAAAAAUAUGUAGACAUGCCCAUCGUUGAAAUAUUAUAUUGUUGCCUAAUUGUUCGUACUUGUUGUACAGGAGGGUUUACCUUGUGGUGGCCUCAUGCUUGCCUUUUGAGACAGAAAUCUCAUCAGCAAACUCGACAUGUGUAACAGUCG
rnacentral:lncRNA from 1 species